rnacentral:lncRNA from 1 species
GUGAGUUCUGGUUCCAUUUAAUUCUGAGUUUGCUCUGGACUCUGGAAGGUUCUGUUCAUUGUGGCUCUGUUUAAUUCAGAGUUUGAUCUGUGGACUCCAGAAGGUUCUGUGAGUUUUGGUUCCAUUCAAUUCUGAGUUUGUUCCACAGACUCACGAAGGUUCUGUGAGUUCUGGUUCUGUUUAAUUCUGAAUUUGCUCAAUGAACUCCAGAAGGUUCUGUAUGUUCUGAUUCCGUUUUAUUCAGAGUUUUUCCCCCACAAACUCAUGAAGGUUCUGUGUGUUCUCAUUCCAUGUAACUCUGAGUUUGUUCCAAAGACUCAUGAAGGUUCUGUGAGUUCUGGUUCUGUUUAAUUCUGAAGUUGCUCAAUGAACUCCAGAAGGUUCUGCAUGUUCUGGUUCUGUUUUAUUCAGAGUUUUUCCCCCACAAACUCAUGAAGGUUCUGUGUGUUCUCAUUCCAUGUAACUCUGAGUUUGUUCCACAGACUCAUGAAGGUUCUGUGAGUUCUGGUUCUGUUUAAUUCUGAGUUUGCUUAUGAACUCCAGAAGGUUCUGUAUGUUCUGAUUCCGUUUUAUUCAGAGUUUUUCCCCCACAAACUCAUGAAGGUUCUGUGGGCUCUCAUUCCAUGUAACUCUGAGUUUAUUCCACAGACUCAUGAAUAUUCGGUGAGUUCUGGUUCUGUUUAAUUCUGAGUUUGCUCAGUGGACUCCAGAAGUUUCUGUGUGUUAUGGUUCCAUUUAAUUCAGAGUGUGAUCUGUGGAUUCCAGAAGGAACUUUAAGUUCUGGUUCUGCUUAACCCAGCAUUAGCAUUUUAAUAACUGAGGAAAAUAGGAAAGGGAAAAUGUUAGCAUGUUACUUGUAUUGCUUUUUAGGUAGCGUGGUGUUGACGAAGUACAAACCAAUGAUGAUGACAUUCAAGCCUCUUUAGGGAAAGAGCAAGUCUCAGCUCUGCUCCUUUCUCCUUCCUCACAGUCCUACAUUCACUGACACUCUACAGGGACUGCAGAGUCCAAAUCCAGACUCUUUAGCCAGGGAUGCAAAGCCUUCUGUGAUUUAGCCCCUACCCGCCCAUUCAUCUUAAGUCACCACUCUUUUCCUAACCAAAGUCUGAGCUUCAGUUGUAUUUAUUUACUCAUUAUUUCAUGAACUCCUUUUUAAAGAUAAGACUUUGACUUGAAAUAACUUCAGAUUUUACAGAAAAGCUGUAAAGAUAGUAGAGGUCCUAUAUAUGGUUUGCCCUUUGAAUCCUUGAGUUUUGCAACCAUGGAUGCAACCAACCGUGGAUGGAAUUAAUUCCAAAAAACUUCCCAAAAGCAAACCUUGAAUUUGCUGCAAGCUAGCAACUUCUUACAUAGUACUUCCAUUGGAUUAGGCAUUAUAAGUAACCUAGAGAUGAUUUAAAGUAUACAGUAGGAUAUGUGAAGGACAUAUGCAAGUAUUAUAUCAUUUUGUAUAAGGGACUUGAGCAUCCAAAGGUUUAGGUAUCCACAGGGGUCCUGGGAUACCGAUGGAUGACUCUACUCCUGGUUUCCCUUAAUGUUAACAUAUUAUUAUGGUCCAUUUUUCCAAAUUAAGAAAACAUUAAUAUAUUACUCUUAACUAAACACCAGUUCUGCAGCUACUGUCCUUUGGCCAUCCCAGGAUGCCAUCCAGGACACCAUGUUCAUCUAGACGAGGUACAUUUUUUGUUUCUUAGCCCCUGCUCAUCACGUGUUCCCUUCCCCAGGAUACUCUUUUCUCUCCUGACUUAAGUGCUACCUAUUCUUCAAGUCCAUUCAAAUCUUAUCUCUGCACUAACUUUCCUAAUUCCUUCUGUCCACAAUGAUUUCUCUAACCUUCAAACUCCAGAACCACUUUGGUCCAGAUCACAUAUUUGGAAUGUGGUGUUGACUGACCUGUAUUAUUACAUCUGUUGUUCUGUUUUGUUUACCAAUUAGCAUAUAAGGCAAGGGUAAUAUCAUGUUCAUUUUCUGACACAUCUGCAGGCAUUGUGUUCUCAAAAGCAUUUAUUGGUAAUGAAUUGUGGUAUUCAUGUUAUUUAUUUUAUUUCACCAUUAGCAUAAAUAAUUGGGAGUCGGCUGUAAAUAUUAAUUGAAUUUUUAGUGGCCCAAGGUUACUACAUUUAUAUUUUAUGAUAUAAUAGAUAAUAAAUGCAACUCAAUGAGUAAAAAUAGCUAAUAUUUAUUGAGUACUGACCAUACCCCAGGCACCCAACUAAAUGUUUUAUAUGCAGCGUCACAGUUAAUUCUCAUCAAAUUUUACAUGGCAAAUACUACAGUUAUUCCUGUUUAAGGUUAAGUGAUUUGCCAAGGCCUGCGCAACCUAAAGAGAUGGAGGCAAAAUUCACACUCGGACAUUCUGGCUCCAGAGCAUGCACUCCUAACCACUUCACCGUAAAGUGCUUUUUGUCCUAGCAAUGAUUUCAGUUGAGUGGUUUAUUUUUUAUGCUUUUUUUUUUUUAAACCCAUCAUUCAGUCUUUCCUUAACUUCUAAAACCUGGUGUCCCCAGUAGCCCACUGACGCUGCUCUUGAAAGUGUCAAGUUACUUUUUUUCUUAUCGGUCCCAAUGACCUUAAAAUUUCUGCCAUGAUGUUUCUACUUUGUACACUGGGUUGGAACUUAAAAGCUAUUUUGCAUUAUGUCCCAUCUCCACACUCUGAGGGCGCAGACUUUGCAUCUUUGGGUCCGGUACUAAACUCUGAACAUCAUAAAUGCCGCACCAACUAUUUGUUUUUCCUCUUUGUGACAAUAGUUUUGAAAGUCUUAAAAAUUUUAAAUUAUAAAGGAAUGUCCAUUUGAAAUUCUGAAGUAUAAAUACAUAGACUAAUAAGUGAGAAACCUUUUCUUCUUCCCUAUUUCUCAGCGAUAGAUUGUUUAACAUUGUGGCCUUAAUACAGUUCAUUAAAAAUUAUGAAUAUUUUGGAAGGUCCCUUAUUGUGCACUGGGUUAGGGAUCUGGCAUUGCUGCAGCCAUGGUGAAGGUCACAACUGUGGCUCAGGUUCGAUCCCUGGCUCUGGAACUUCCACAUGCUGUGGGUGCAGCCAAAAAAAUUAUGAAUAAUUUUAAUUAUAAAUACAAACUCAUGACGUAAAAAUUGAUAGCUUUCCAGUGAUACAGAAGAAUAUGCAAAAAUCUUCCAAGGUUCUAAUUUUCAGAGGAAACUGUUCUUAAAAGCUUACUAUUAUAAAAGCUCCAGAUGUUUUCUAUACCUGGAAGCCUUUUGUAAUUCUGUUUUUGUUUUUGGCAGGAAGAAAAUCCUGACAUGUGCUGUCACCCUGAUCUCCCCCAGACCAGCUGUCCCUAAGAAUUUUGCUACUUUUGACACCGUCACAUAUUCUUUUUUUCCUUGCCACUCAUUUUCUAAACACGAGUCAAUCAAUCCUUUUCCUCUUUUUCAGACUACUUUCUGACUCCAGUGAAUGAGUUUAUCUGGGACCUCUGGUUUUUCUCUGAGUAUCUUCAUCCCUAGAGAGUUUCUCCAUUCCUGAUCAGGCUACCAUCUUUUCUCACACGGUUCUCUUGCUGCCAAACUUCUUUUUAGACUUUCUCAACCCACAGUCAUUCCUCAGCCCCUUGUGAUCUGAUUUACAUAUGCCACUCCAAUAAAACUAUGUUUGAAAUUUCCUUAAUCACAGAAAAUCUCUACCACCACACUCCCCCCCCCCAAUGGGUUUCUGGGGGCCAUUGACUCUCUUUUCUGUGAGAAGUGCUCCCUUUCAGGCUUCUGAGCCAUUGCAAAAUCCAAGUUCUUCCUCUGCUUUUAGGACCUGAGCUUCCCCUACUGUAAUACGGCCACUCUGGGUCUUUUGUUCCUGAUCUCUGUCUCUCCUAGUGUCCCCCUGGGGGACGUCUUCACAAUCCCAACACCACUCAACAUGCGCUAACCACGUCUAACAUGAACUAACCUCUCUCGAAUUCCAGUUCCACAUCUCCCACUCCCUGCUCAUCAGAUUCACAAUUUACCUCAAGGCCAACCUAUCACAGCUUAAACACACCACCUAAAAACACACCCUCUUUCCCGUGUCCUUAUUCCUGUUCAUGAUAUUCCCACUUUCUUGGUCAACAAAGGAACAUGUUGGUCUUCAUCCUCUCUAGUACCCUUUGAGUUCCAUCAAUCACCUCACCCAGGAAUUCCACUGCUGUAUCUUUUGCCUGCUGCUUCUUCCUAGUCCCACCAUCUCACUGUUUCUUAACUGCAUUUUUAGGGCCUCCUGAUUGUGUUAUCUUCAUCCCCGCCCACUUCAUUGUCCAUUUACCCACAAAUAGGUCAGGUAAGUCUUCCCUGAAACCUUUCCCUAACCUUCCACUUCCCUGCCCCAAACUCUUCAGUGACAAGCCACUACCUGUGAAUGAAAAAAUUCUUCAGCAUAGUUUUAGAUGUCCUCCUAACAGCGAUUUGCAGACUUUUUGUUUUAGGAUCCUUCUUCACUCUUAAAAAAUUCUUGAGCUUCAAAGAGUUUCAUCUAUCACUGUUUCCUAUAUUGGAAGUUAAGACUGAAGAAAAUUUAAAAAUAUUUACAUAUGUAUUUAAAAGUAACAAUAACAAACAUAUUAACAUAAAUACCACAUUUUGUUGAAGCAAUAACUUUUUGGGAAAAAAAGUAGGAGUGGCAUUGUUUCACAUUUUUGUAAACUCUCGAGAGUGUCAGACUUAAUAGGAUUUAAUAGAAGACAGCUGUAUUCUCUUAUCUGCUUCUGCAUUCCAUCUGUUGUGAUAUCAUAGGUCAUGUGGCCUCUGGAAAAUUCCAUUGUGUAUUUAAAAAGAGAGUGAACAGGAAAAUAACAUCUCAGUAUGAAUGGGGAAUAGCUUUGACCUCAUGGACCUUUGACGGUGUCCCAGGUCCCCCGACCACAUACUGAGAACCACGCUAUCUCUGCCUUCUCCCUCACGUCUCCUCCAACCUUCACGCUCCAGUUAAACUAUGCUUUACCUAUGAACGUAUUCACAUUUUUGUGGCUCUUCUUCAAAGAAGGAUUUUGGUCAAACCAUUGUAUUUAUUCAUUGGCAGGACCCUGUGGUUUGCCAGGGAACAGGGAUUUGGUGGGGAAAAAAUCCCUCCGAUUACUAGAAAAUACUCUUAAGUGGAAAUCAGGGAACUUACAUGCUCAUGACAGUUCUGUAACUAAGAUUUUCUGUCACCUCGGACAAGUCACUUAACUUGGUUUGUGCCUUGGUUCUCAGUUCUUGUCUGCGUAAACAAAGAAAAUAGAUAAGAUGAUCUCUGGGAGUAGUUCCAAGUCUAAAAUCAUCAGCGAUUUGAAAUUAAAUCACCUGCAGUCUAUUCUGAAGAAGUGGGAAACACCUGCCAUUUCCAGUCUUCUGUAUACACCCCUGACAUCAGUUUACUACAAACUGCUGUCUUUUUCUGAAUGCAUAAAAAGAUCAGGUUCUCAGAGUUCCUGUUGUGCAGUGGAAAUGAAUCCAACCAGUAGCCAUGAGGUUGUGGGUUCCACCUCUGGCCUCGCUCAGUGGGUUGAGGCUCCGGCACUGCUGUGAGCUAUACUGUAGGUCGCAGACGUGGCUCGGAUCCUGCGUUGCUGUGGCUGUGGUGUAGACCGGCGGCCACAGCUCUGAUUGGACUCCUAGCCUGGGAACUUCCUUAGACCACAGUGCAGCCCUGAAAAA